GGGUUGUGAGGUUAAGCGACUAAGCGUACACGGUGGAUGCCCUGGCAGUCAGAGGCGAUGAAGGACGUGCUAAUCUGCGAUAAGCGUCGGUGAGGUGAUAUGAACCGUUAUAACCGGCGAUUUCCGAAUGGGGAAACCCAGUGUGUUUCGACACACUAUCAUUAACUGAAUCCAUAGGUUAAUGAGGCGAACCGGGGGAACUGAAACAUCUAAGUACCCCGAGGAAAAGAAAUCAACCGAGAUUCCCCCAGUAGCGGCGAGCGAACGGGGAGGAGCCCAGAGCCUGAAUCAGUGUGUGUGUUAGUGGAAGCGUCUGGAAAGGCGUGCGAUACAGGGUGACAGCCCCGUACACAAAAAUGCACAUAUUGUGAGCUCGAUGAGUAGGGCGGGACACGUGGUAUCCUGUCUGAAUAUGGGGGGACCAUCCUCCAAGGCUAAAUACUCCUGACUGACCGAUAGUGAACCAGUACCGUGAGGGAAAGGCGAAAAGAACCCCGGCGAGGGGAGUGAAAAAGAACCUGAAACCGUGUACGUACAAGCAGUGGGAGCCUCUUAAUGGGGUGACUGCGUACCUUUUGUAUAAUGGGUCAGCGACUUAUAUUCUGUAGCAAGGUUAACCGAAUAGGGGAGCCGAAGGGAAACCGAGUCUUAACUGGGCGUUAAGUUGCAGGGUAUAGACCCGAAACCCGGUGAUCUAGCCAUGGGCAGGUUGAAGGUUGGGUAACACUAACUGGAGGACCGAACCGACUAAUGUUGAAAAAUUAGCGGAUGACUUGUGGCUGGGGGUGAAAGGCCAAUCAAACCGGGAGAUAGCUGGUUCUCCCCGAAAGCUAUUUAGGUAGCGCCUCGUGAAUUCAUCUCCGGGGGUAGAGCACUGUUUCGGCAAGGGGGUCAUCCCGACUUACCAACCCGAUGCAAACUGCGAAUACCGGAGAAUGUUAUCACGGGAGACACACGGCGGGUGCUAACGUCCGUCGUGAAGAGGGAAACAACCCAGACCGCCAGCUAAGGUCCCAAAGUCAUGGUUAAGUGGGAAACGAUGUGGGAAGGCCCAGACAGCCAGGAUGUUGGCUUAGAAGCAGCCAUCAUUUAAAGAAAGCGUAAUAGCUCACUGGUCGAGUCGGCCUGCGCGGAAGAUGUAACGGGGCUAAACCAUGCACCGAAGCUGCGGCAGCGACACUAUGUGUUGUUGGGUAGGGGAGCGUUCUGUAAGCCUGUGAAGGUGGCCUGUGAGGGUUGCUGGAGGUAUCAGAAGUGCGAAUGCUGACAUAAGUAACGAUAAAGCGGGUGAAAAGCCCGCUCGCCGGAAGACCAAGGGUUCCUGUCCAACGUUAAUCGGGGCAGGGUGAGUCGACCCCUAAGGCGAGGCCGAAAGGCGUAGUCGAUGGGAAACAGGUUAAUAUUCCUGUACUUGGUGUUACUGCGAAGGGGGGACGGAGAAGGCUAUGUUGGCCGGGCGACGGUUGUCCCGGUUUAAGCGUGUAGGCUGGUUUUCCAGGCAAAUCCGGAAAACCAAGGCUGAGGCGUGAUGACGAGGCACUACGGUGCUGAAGCGACAAAUGCCCUGCUUCCAGGAAAAGCCUCUAAGCAUCAGGUAACAUCAAAUCGUACCCCAAACCGACACAGGUGGUCAGGUAGAGAAUACCAAGGCGCUUGAGAGAACUCGGGUGAAGGAACUAGGCAAAAUGGUGCCGUAACUUCGGGAGAAGGCACGCUGAUAUGUAGGUGAAGCGACUUGCUCGUGGAGCUGAAAUCAGUCGAAGAUACCAGCUGGCUGCAACUGUUUAUUAAAAACACAGCACUGUGCAAACACGAAAGUGGACGUAUACGGUGUGACGCCUGCCCGGUGCCGGAAGGUUAAUUGAUGGGGUUAGCGGUAACGCGAAGCUCUUGAUCGAAGCCCCGGUAAACGGCGGCCGUAACUAUAACGGUCCUAAGGUAGCGAAAUUCCUUGUCGGGUAAGUUCCGACCUGCACGAAUGGCGUAAUGAUGGCCAGGCUGUCUCCACCCGAGACUCAGUGAAAUUGAACUCGCUGUGAAGAUGCAGUGUACCCGCGGCAAGACGGAAAGACCCCGUGAACCUUUACUAUAGCUUGACACUGAACAUUGAGCCUUGAUGUGUAGGAUAGGUGGGAGGCUUUGAAGUGUGGACGCCAGUCUGCAUGGAGCCGACCUUGAAAUACCACCCUUUAAUGUUUGAUGUUCUAAC
rnacentral:rRNA from 1 species